rnacentral:rRNA from 1 species
ACUCCCAAACCCCUGUGACAUACCAAUUGUUGCCUCGGCGGAUCAGCCCGCUCCCGGUAAAACGGGACGGCCCGCCAGAGGACCCCUAAACUCUGUUUCUAUAUGUAACUUCUGAGUAAAACCAUAAAUAAAUCAAAACUUUCAACAACGGAUCUCUUGGUUCUGGCAUCGAUGAAGAACGCAGCAAAAUGCGAUAAGUAAUGUGAAUUGCAGAAUUCAGUGAAUCAUCGAAUCUUUGAACGCACAUUGCGCCCGCCAGUAUUCUGGCGGGCAUGCCUGUUCGAGCGUCAUUUCAACCCUCAAGCCCCCGGGUUUGGUGUUGGGGAUCGGCGAGCCCUUGCGGCAAGCCGGCCCCGAAAUCUAGUGGCGGUCUCGCUGCAGCUCCCAUUGCGUAGUAGUAAAACCCUCGCAACUGGUACGCGGCGCGGCCAAGCCGUUAAACCCCCAACUUCUGAAUGUUGACCUCGGAUCAGGUAGGAAUACCCGCUGAACUUAAGCAUAUCAAUAAGCGGAGGAA